rnacentral:lncRNA from 1 species
AGCAAUUGUUACAAUUAACAACAAUUAAUCGGAUCCAGGCUCACAAGACCGACCCGAGACCCGAUUAAAUUGAAUCAGUUUCAUUUAAAGAAAAUUAGUUAUUAGUUAAUUGUAAUAGUUAGUUGUAAAUAGUGUAUAAAUGAUUGGGUUGUAAACUGGUUUUAAUUAAUUGAAUUACACAAGUUAAUCAAAGGAAAAAAAAGAUUAACAUUUUUCAUAUUUUUCCCCCAAAUCAUUUCUUCCCCCUUCUUCUCUCUCCAGACGGUUUAGUUUGUUUUUCCCCCUUUCUAGACUCAAUUUCUCCGGCGAUCGUCGCUAGAAGGCUCCAGAAGCUCCGACGUCGUCUCCGGGACUUCAUCUCCACCAGAAAUUAACAACUUUAACCUGAAGAUCGCGUCCGUCCUCCCAAGAUCGCGGCCAUAAGUAUCCCAAGAUUGCGUCCGUCCUCCUAAAGGUAAAACCGAUUCUUUCAAGGUGAAAGGUGAAAUCGAUUCAAGAUCGCGAUUUUCCAGAUCGUAGAAGACGACGAUUUUCUUGCUCGCGAUUUCCGAUUUCUGUGAAAGAAAUUUUCAGAAAUGACAGGGGAUUUCGGCCGGGGAUGGGGAUUUUCAUACUUCGGGGAUCUGCCAAACUCUGACGAUAUUCACCUCAAAUCGGCCAACCUAUAUUAUCAUUGAAUUCAUCAACAAGUUCGAGAGAAACCUCGAUUGAUUUAGAAUCUUCUGAUGAUGAUGAAAAUUAAAAGAACUUAACGGUGGAAAAGAAAAUGAGAAAGAAUGAACGUUUUUGUUCAGUAGUUUUAAAAAAAUUCAAAAUAAAAAUGCAUAUUUAACUAACCAAUAAAGAAGUAAUUAGAUGAUAAACACUCAUUGGACUAACUUGUGAUUAAAUAUAAUAUCUGGAUGCUGGCUUAUUAGAGAUGAAUUAAUGUCAAG